CGCGGGGUGGAGCAGCUUGGUAGCUCGUCGGGCUCAUAACCCGAAGGUCGUUGGUUCAAAUCCAACCCCCGCAACCA
rnacentral:tRNA from 5 species